GACGAACGCUGACGGCGUGCUUAACACAUGCAAGUCGAAGGGCGUGGCGAACGGGUGAGUCACACGUGAGUAACCUGCCCUUUUCUUUGGGAUAAGCCUGGGACACUGGGUCUAAUACUGGAUGGAUUGGGAUGGGAUCGCGGCUUAUCCGCUUGUUGGUGGGGUGAUGGCUUACCAAGGCUUUGAAGGGUAGCCGGCGUGAGAGGGUGGUCGGUCACACUGGGACGGCGAUACGGCCCAGAGUCCGACGGGGGGCAGAAGAGGGGGAUAUGGCAGAAUGGACGAAGGACUGAUGCAGCGACGUCGUGUGGGGCAUGAAGGCCUUCGGGUUGUAAACUCCUUUCGCCCGGGGAUUGGUAGUGGGUAAAGAAGCGCCGGCUAACUACGUGCCAGCAGCCGCGGUAAUAC
rnacentral:rRNA from 1 species